UCCCUAUGGAUCCCUAACCCCUCAGACCUAAAUAUUGCUCUGCGUGGUUAUGAAAAAGAGGAAAAGUAAAACUGAAGAAGACUUGAAGUCUUUAGUGACGUACAGGUUCAUUUCAAACAGAU
rnacentral:snoRNA from 1 species